ACAAGGGCAGGCACAGGAGCCGUGGCUGGGAGAGGCGCUGCACCUCUCUCAACUGUGGCUCCUAUGCCUGCUCUUGU